CUGGCGGCAUGCCUAACACAUGCAAGUCGAACGGCAGCACGGGAGCUUGCUCCUGGUGGCGAGUGGCGGACGGGUGAGUAAUGCGCAGAAAUCUGCCCAGUAGUGGGGGACAACCUGGUGAAAACCAGGCUAAUACCGCAUACGCCCUACGGGGGAAAGCAGGGGAUCUUCGGACCUUGCGCUAUUGGAUGAGUCUGCGUCGGAUUAGCUUGUUGGUGAGGUAAUGGCUCACCAAGGCGACGAUCCGUAGCUGGUCUGAGAGGAUGAUCAGCCACACUGGGACUGAGACACGGCCCAGACUCCUACGGGAGGCAGCAGUGGGGAAUAUUGGACAAUGGGCGAAAGCCUGAUCCAGCCAUGCCGCGUGUGUGAAGAAGGCUCUAGGGUUGUAAAGCACUUUCAGUGGGGAAGAAAGCUUGUUAGCUAAUAACUGACGAGUGUGACAUUACCCACAGAAGAAGCACCGGCUAACUCCGUG
rnacentral:rRNA from 1 species